rnacentral:rRNA from 1 species
AGGCAUGCGGGCAGCUAUAAUGCAAGUCGUGGGGUAACCCUGCAGCAAUGUAGGGCUAGACCGGCAAACGGGUGAGUAACACGUACGCAACCUGCCUCUAACUGGAGGAUAGCCCCUCGAAAGAGGGAUUAAUACUCCAUGAUGUUACGGAAGGGCAUCCUUCUGUAACCAAAGCUCCGGCGGUUAGAGAGGGGCGUGCGUCCCAUUAGGUAGUUGGUAGGGUAACGGCCUACCAAGCCGACGAUGGGUAGCUGGCGUGAGAGCGCGACCAGCCACACGGGCACUGAGACACGGGCCCGACUCCUACGGGAGGCAGCAGUAAGGAAUAUUGGUCAAUGGGCGCAAGCCUGAACCAGCCAUGCCGCGUGCAGGAUGAAGGCCCUCAGGGUUGUAAACUGCUUUUCUCAGGGAAGAAACCCUCGUUUUCUAACGAGGCUGACGGUACCUGAGGAAUAAGCACCGGCUAACUCCGUGCCAGCAGCCGCGGUAAUACGGAGGGUGCGAGCGUUAUCCGGAUUCACUGGGUUUAAAGGGUGUGUAGGCGGGCAGGUAAGUCAGCGGUGAAAGCCCCGAGCUUAACUUGGGAAUUGCCGUUGAUACUAUCUGUCUUGAAUGUUGUGGAGGCGAGCGGAAUAUGGCAUGUAGCGGUGAAAUGCUUAGAUAUGCCAUAGAACACCGAUUGCGAAGGCAGCUCGCUACGCAACCAUUGACGCUGAGGCACGAAAGCGUGGGGAGCAAACAGGAUUAGAUACCCUGGAAGUCCACGCC